rnacentral:rRNA from 1 species
UACAGAGGGUGCAAGCGUUGUUCGGAAUUAUUGGGCGUAAAGGGCGCGUAGGCGGUGCGGUAAGUCUGUAGUGAAAUCUCUGGGCUCAACUCAGAGUCUGCUGCAGAAACUGCCGUGCUUGAGUGUGGGAGAGGUGAGUGGAAUUCCCGGUGUAGCGGUGAAAUGCGUAGAUAUUGGGAGGAACACCAGUGGCGAAGGCGGCUCGCUGGACCGGUUCUGACGCUGAUGCGCGAAAGCGUGGGGAGCAAACGGG